AAAUGUUCAAGAAGGUGACUUUCCAAAGCAUCAUUUACACUGUUGAAAAAGUUCCUCUCACAUUGUUCGUUAACACGAGAGACAAACUCAACUUUAAAAACCAAAGUUGUUCAACUCAACCAAGAUGUUUAAUGUGAUAAUAAUUGGUUUCGCUACAAUACAGGCUUCAACAGCGAGCAGCUUCAAAGUUUGAGAAGAUGGUUUUCAAGGACAUCAUGCACGCUAUCGAAUGAAUCUUCUGAACGCGAUGGGCAAACUUGGAUGCCUUUGAAAUGACCAAUGUGAGGAAAGGCGAAAGACAAAACACAAUCUUGCAGAUGCCCUGAAAAAAAUGAGUACCAGAGAGGAAAAUUUUCAAUAUUGGAAAGAGAACAAAAAUGGAUGUGGAACACCGCCACCUCCUCGCCAGCCACCACUAAUUAGCAUUUGUUUUAUACUUAUAGCGAGAGUUUUGAGCUCUCGUCCUUGUGGCACAACUUUGCACGUACGCAUGCGCGUUUGGUAGCAUAUUUUAUAAUAAAUUUUUUUCUAAGUCUUUUGGCGGGAAACGUUUGUAUAUGUAAUGUUCAUUUGCGAUCUCUUUCUUUCAGAUGCCUUGAAAAUGACCAGUUUUAAGAAGUGGCCAAAGAAAAAUUGUCAACCCUGGAAGGAAGGCAAAAAUUGAUGUGGAACACCGCCACCGCCCCGCCACCACCACUAACUAGCAAUUCUUUUAUACUUAUAGCGAUAGUUUGGUCCAUCCAUCCUUGUGGUACAGUAGCCUCUAAUACGCAUGCGUACUAAAAAUCUAAUGUACUGUGUCCCAGUUACAAGAAACUAAUGUACUGUACGUCGUGACUGUAAGUAACUGAUGACUUCGUGUCGGUUUAAACCGAAGUUCAAACUUCGGGUUCCCGACACGGAGGCAUCGGUUACUUGUAAGUCGUGACAGUAAGUAACCGAUAACCUCGUGUUGGGGAAUCCGAAGUUUUUUUCGGGUUAUCCAACACGAAGUUAUUAGUUACCUACGGCCACGACUUACAAGUAACUGAUACCUCCGUGUCGGGAAACCCGAAGUUUGAACUUCGGUUUAAACAGACACGAAGCUAUCGGUUACUUACAGUCACGACGUACAGUACAUUAAGUUUCUUGUAACUGGGACACUCACCUAGUACGCAUGCGUAUAUGAGGCUACUGUACCACAAGGAUUGGUGGACCAAACUCUUGCUGUAAGUACAACAGAAAUGCUAGUUAGUGGUGGCGGCUGGAGGUGGCGGUGUUCCACAUAAAUUUUGGCCUUCCUUCCAAGAUUGAAAAUUUUGUAUGGCAUCUGCAAAAGAGCCUUGGAAGCAUGGUUUUCAGUAGACUGACACAAGUUUGUAAGAUGAUAAAGUCAAUUUAUUUUGUAAUACUACAACAGACAAAAACCAAUAAAGAUAAAUAUUACAGUA